rnacentral:rRNA from 1 species
UCACCCUACGGGACGCAGCAGUGAGGAAUAUUGGACAAUGGGCUUACGCCUGAACCAGCCAAGUCGCGUGAGGGAAGACUGCCCUAUGGGUUGUAAACCUCUUUUGUCAGGGAGCAACGCCGGCUACGUGUAGCCGGACUGAGAGUACCUGAAGAAAAAGCAUCGGCUUACUCCGUGCCAGCAGCCGCGGUAAUACGGAGGAUGCGAGCGUUAUCCGGAUUUAUUGGGUUUAAAGGGUGCGUAGGCGGAGUGUCAAGUCAGCGGUAAAAUUUCGGGGCUCAACCCCGU